rnacentral:rRNA from 1 species
AUUGAACGCUGGCGGCAGGCCUAACACAUGCAAGUCGAGCGGAGCGGCGGACGGGUGAGUAAUACCUAGGAAUCUGCCUGGUAGUGGGGGAUAACGUCCGGAAACGGGCGCUAAUACCGCAUACUAUCAGCUGAGCCUAUGUCGGAUUAGCUAGUUGGUGGGGUAAAGGCCUACCAAGGCGACGAUCCCUAACUGGUCUGGGAGGAUGAUCAGUCACAAUGGAACUGAGACACGGUCCAGACUCCUACGGGAGGCAGCAGUGGGGAAGAGUGGACAAUGGGCGAAAGCCUGACUGAGGAACGCCGCGUGAGUGAUGACGGCCUUCGGGUUGUAAAGCUCUGUUAAUCGGGACGCGGUACCGGAAUAGAAAGCCACGGCUAACUCCGUGCCAGCAGCCGCGGUAAUAC